rnacentral:rRNA from 1 species
GACGAACGCUGGCGGCGUGCUUAACACAUGCAAGUCGAACGCUGAAGCUUGGUGCUUGCACUGGGUGGAUGAGUGGCGAACGGGUGAGUAAUACGUGAGUAACCUGCCCUUGACUCUGGGAUAAGCCUGGGAAACUGGGUCUAAUACUGGAUACGACAUGUCACCGCAUGGUGGUGUGUGGAAAGGGUUUUACUGGUUUUGGAUGGGCUCACGGCCUAUCAGCUUGUUGGUGGGGUAAUGGCUCACCAAGGCGACGACGGGUAGCCGGCCUGAGAGGGUGACCGGCCACACUGGGGCUGAGACACGGCCCAGACUCCUACGGGAGGCAGCAGUGGGGAAUAUUGCACAAUGGGCGGAAGCCUGAUGCAGCGACGCCGCGUGAGGGAUGACGGCCUUCGGGUUGUAAACCUCUUUCAGCACGGAAGAAGCGAAAGUGACGGUACGUGCAGAAGAAGCGCCGGCUAACUACGUG